rnacentral:rRNA from 1 species
GCCAUGCUAGUUGUACGAGUUUAGACUCGUAGCAGAUAGCUCAGUAACACGUGGCCAAACUACCCUAUGGAUCCGGACAACCUCGGGAAACUGAGGCUAAUCCGGAAUACGACUCUCAGCCUGGAAGUGGCGAGAGUCAGAAACGCUCCGGCGCCAUAGGAUGUGGCUGCGGCCGAUUAGGUAGACGGUGGGGUAACGGCCCACCGUGCCCAUAAUCGGUACGGGUUGUGAGAGCAAGAGCCCGGAGACGGUAUCUGAGACAAGAUACCGGGCCCUACGGGGCGCAGCAGGCGCGAAACCUUUACACUGCACGAAAGUGCGAUAAGGGGACUCCAAGUGCGAGGGCAUAUAGCCCUCGCUUUUCACCACCGUAAGGAGGUGGUAGAAUAAGUGCUGGGCAAGACCGGUGCCAGCCGCCGCGGUAAUACCGGCAGCACGAGUGAUGACCGCUCUUAUUGGGCCUAAAGCGUCCGUAGCUGGCCACGCAAGUCUAUCGGGAAAUCCGCGCGCUCAACGCGCGGGCGUCCGGUGGAAACUGUGUGGCUUGGGACCGGAAGAUCCAGAGGGUACGUCUGGGGUAGGAGUGAAAUCCCGUAAUCCUGGACGGACCACCGGUGGCGAAAGCGCUCUGGAAAGACGGAUCCGACGGUGAGGGACGAAAGCUCGGGUCACGAACCGGAUUAGAUACCCGGGUAGUCCGAGCUGUAAACGAUGUCUGCUAGGUGUGCCACAGGCUACGAGCCUGUGGUGUGCCGUAGGGAAGCCGUGAAGCAGACCGCCUGGGAAGUACGUCCGCAAGGAUGAAACUUAA